GCCCACUUGACUUCACACUCCAGGAUGUCUGGCUCUAGGUUUACAAUGGCGAAAUGUUCCCUAAAUACAAGGCGAAAUGUUCCCUAAAUACAAGGUUCAUCAUCAUAACAUAAGCCAGGUCUUUAUAUUCAACUGCCAACUGGAUAUCUUCACCUUAGGAGUCCCAUGGAUUCCUAAGGUUGAGUACUUCAAAGUUGAAG